UACGUAGGGUGCAAGCGUUAAUCGGAAUUACUGGGCGUAAAGCGUGCGCAGGCGGUGAUGUAAGACAGGUGUGAAAUCCCCGGGCUUAACCUGGGAACUGCAUUUGUGACUGCAUCGCUGGAGUGCGGCAGAGGGGGAUGGAAUUCCGCGUGUAGCAGUGAAAUGCGUAGAUAUGCGGAGGAACACCGAUGGCGAAGGCAAUCCCCUGGGCCUGCACUGACGCUCAUGCACGAAAGCGUGGGGAUCAAACAGG
rnacentral:rRNA from 1 species